AAAAGCGAAUAAGGGCGCACGGAGGAUGCCUAGACAACAAGAGCCGAAGAAGGACGUGAUAAGCUGCGAAAAGCUAGGACGAGUUGCACAUUAGCGUUGACUCCUAGAUAUCCGAAUGGGAAAACCUAUAUACUUGAAGAGUAUAUACGAAAGAGGUAAGUGGGCGAACUGAAACAUCUAAGUAGCCUGAGGAAAAUAAAGUAAAAACGAUUCUCUAAGUAGCGGCGAGCGAACGGGGAAGAGCCUAAACCAUGGUAGUGUUAAAGUUGGCACGUUGCUAUUAUGGGGUAGAGGGAUAGUUGAUUGACGGAUAGCCAUGAAGUCGACAAAUUAAAUGACGUAAGAGGAACACAACUGGAAAGUUGGACCGAAGAAGGUGAUAGUCCUGUAGAUUGUAAAAUCAUUUAAAUGUUUUAACUAAUCCCGAGUAGUAUCGGACACGAGGAAUCCGGUGUGAAUCAGCGAGGACCAUAUCUCGUAAGGCUAAAUACUCUUGUUGAUCGAUAGAGAAUAGUACCGUGAGGGAAAGGUGAAAAGAACCCUGAGUAAGGGAGUGAAAUAGAACCUGAAACCGUGUGCUUACAAACGGUAGGAGCCCUUCGGGGUGACUGCGUGGAUUUUGGUUAAUCAUCCUGCGAGUUAUGAUGUGUGGCAAGGUUAAGUAAACGGAGCCGAAGGGAAACCGAGUCUUAAUAGGGCGAUAAGUCGCAUGUCAUAGACGCGAAACCUAGUGAUCUAGGCCUGUCCAGGUUGAAGCUGGGGUAAGACCCAGUGGAGGACCGAACUCACCACCGUUGAAAAGUUGGGAGAUGAGAUAGGUUUAGGGGUGAAAAGCCAAUCGAACUAGGAGAUAGCUCGUUCUCUCCGAAAUGCAUUUAGGUGCAGCCUUAAUAAAGAUAUAUGGGGGUAGAGCUCUGUAUGGCCUAGGGGGCGUAUAGCUUACCGAAGUCAAGCAAACUGCGAAUACCAUAUAUUAAUUAUUAGGAGUGAGUCCAUGGAUGACAAGGUCCAUGGACGAGAGGGAAACAGCCCAGACCAUCAGCUAAGGUCCCAAAUUAUGUCUAAGUGGGGAAGGAGGUGGAUACUCACAAACAACCAGGAGGUUGGCUUAGAAGCAGCCAUACCUUUAAAGAGUGCGUAAUAGCUCACUGGUCGAGAGUAUCUGCGCCGAAGAUUUAACGGGGCUAAGACAUAAACCGAAGCUAUGGAAACUAGAUUUAUAUCUAGUUUGGUAGGAGAGCGUUCUGUAAGCCGUAGAAGGUGUACUGUAAGGUAUAUUGGAGGUAUCAGAAGUGAGAAUGCAGGAAUGAGUAGCGAGAAAGAGAGUGAGAAUCUCUCUGGCCGAAAGUCCAAGGUUUCCAGAGGAAGGUUUGUCCGCUCUGGGGGAGUCGGGACCUAAGUCGAGGCUUAAAAGCGUAGGCGAAUGGAAAAUAGGUUAAUAUUCCUAUACCACUAUAUAAACGUUAUUAGAGAUGGAGUGACGCAGGAAGGUAUGUGAGAAGGGCGACGGUUGUCCCUUUCUAAGGAAGUAGUGUGAACAUGGAGGCAAAUCCACAUGUUUAAACAUGAGAUCUUAUGGGUAAGUAGCUUAGGCUAUAAGUCACAAAUCCUAUACUGCCGAGAAAAACUUCUAUUGAGAUUAUGUAGUGCCCGUACUGUAAACCGACACAGGUGGACUGGGUGAGUAACCCGAGGCCGACAGGAUAACUCUAGCUAAGGAACUCUGCAAAAUGGCCCCGUAACUUCGGGAGAAGGGGUACCUAUGUUAUGUGAUAAGAUAAACACUUUGAGCAGAAAUAGGUCGCAGUGAAGAGUCCCAAGCAACUGUUUACCAAAAACACAGGUCUAUGCUAAGCUGAAAGGCGACGUAUAUGGGCUGACACCUGCCCAGUGCUGGAAGGUUAAGAGGAGGAUUGAGAGAUUCGAAUUGAAGCCCCAGUGAACGGCGGCCGUAACUAUAACGGUCCUAAGGUAGCGAAAUUCCUUGUCGGGU
rnacentral:rRNA from 1 species